rnacentral:rRNA from 1 species
AUUGAACGCUGGCGGCAGGCCUAACACAUGCAAGUCGAGCGGAGCGGCGGACGGGUGAGUAAUGCCUAGGAAUCUGACUGGUCGUGGGGGAGAACGUCCGGAAACGGGCGCUAAUACCGCAUCCUAUCAGAUGAGCCUAGGUAGGAUUAGCAUGGUGGUGGGGUAACGGCUUACCAAGGCGACGAUCCGUAACUGGUCUGAGUGGAUGAGCAGCCACACUGGAACUGAGACACGGUCCAGACUCCUACGGGAGGCAGCAGUGGGGAAUAUUGGACAAUGGGCGAAAGCCUGAUCCAGCCAUGCCGCGUGUGUGAAGAAGGUCUUCGGAUUGUAAAGCACUUUAAGUUGGGAGGCGUUACCAACAGAAUAAGCACCGGCUAACUUCGUGUCAGCAGCCGCGGUAAUAC